AAACCCUUCCCCUCGCCCUUGCCCCCUUUUCUUCAAUACCUGCAAAUGGCAUUCAGUUCUGUUCUUCGCAGAGCCUCAGCAUCUGUGCUUCCACUUGCAAUUCGCUCCCUGGGUUCACAGAGGACCUUUCGCAGCAUAAUAACCGCCGGUCUCUGUGUUGAAAAGCGCAAUCUCAGGCACGAGUACUGUCGGCAAUUAUUUCUUCCAUUUUUGCGAUUCUCGACGGCCGCCGGAGCAAAACCUAGCGCCGAUGAGAGUCUGAUUCGAGUCCUUGAAUCUGAGAUCGACUGCGCCGAGCCACCCACAGUAGAGGAUAUCCCAAGUGGAUUUCCUUUUGAAAUCCAAGAUAACCCUGGAGAGAGAACCAUAUUACUAAAAAGAAAGUUUCAAGAUGAGAUAAUCAAAGUUGAAGUUGAUGCACCUAGUAUUCCAGAGGUGGAUGCUGAGGACGAUGAUGAUGACCAGGAUAAAAAUACUGAGGAUUCAGAUAACCCACCAAGCAUUCCACUGGUUGUGAAUAUUUCUAAAGGAAAUGGUCAGUGUCUGGAAUUUGGUAUCACUGCUUGCCCUGAUGAGAUCACGAUCGAUACCUUGUCAGUUAAAAAUUCAGAAUAUUCUGAAGAUCAACUUGCAUAUGAAGGGCCUGACUUUUACGAUUUGGAUGAAAAUUUGCAAAAGGCUUUCCACAAAUAUCUUGAGAUUAGAGGGAUCAAACCUAGCACAACCAACUUUUUGUUUGAUUACAUGGCAAACAAGGACAACAAAGAAUACUUGCUGUGGCUGAAGAAUCUCAAGAGUUUCAUGGAAAGGUAACUCUUCGUGCAACGGGACAACAACGAAUGCAGCCAAGCUUAUGUGCUGGGCGGUGACACCUGCCCAUUUAGUAAUUUAGUUCAUUUGAAAUGUUCACCAUCUGAAUUUGUAUUACCGUUGGAGGGAGAGCGAGUAGUGAAAUUCGUGAACUGUUUUGGGCACAUUCUAGUUAUUAGUCUUGUUUUACACCUAAUUUGUCAUGGAUGAUAAAAAUGGUGUAUGACAGAAAUGCUUUA
rnacentral:misc_RNA from 1 species